GACGAACGCUGGCGGCGUGCUUAACACAUGCAAGUCGAACGGUGACGAUCAAGCUUGCUUGGUCUGAUCAGUGGCGAACGGGUGAGUAACACGUGAGUAACCUGCCCCUGACUCUGGGAUAACCCCGGGAAACCGGAGCUAAUACCGGAUAUGACACGCCUCCGCAUGGGGAGCGUGUGGAAAGUUUUUCGGUCUGGGAUGGACUCGCGGCCUAUCAGCUUGUUGGUGAGGUAAUGGCUCACCAAGGCGACGACGGGUAGCCGGCCUGAGAGGGCGACCGGCCACACUGGGACUGAGACACGGCCCAGACUCCUACGGGAGGCAGCAGUGGGGAAUAUUGCACAAUGGGCGAAAGCCUGAUGCAGCGACGCCGCGUGAGGGAUGACGGCCUUCGGGUUGUAAACCUCUUUCAGCGGGGACGAAGCGAAAGUGACGGUACCCGCAGAAGAAGCACCGGCUAACUACGUGCCAGCAGCCGCCGUAAAAC
rnacentral:rRNA from 1 species